UGGGGAAUAUUGGACAAUGGGCGAAAGCCUGAUCCAGCCAUGCCGCGUGUGUGAAGAAGGUCUUCGGAUUGUAAAGCACUUUAAGUUGGGAGGAAGGGCAGUAAGCGAAUACCUUGCUGUUUUGACGUUACCGACAGAAUAAGCACCGGCUAACUCUGUGCCAGCAGCCGCGGUAAUACAGAGGGUGCAAGCGUUAAUCGGAAUUACUGGGCGUAAAGCGCGCGUAGGUGGUUCGUUAAGUUGAAUGUGAAAGCCCCGGGCUCAACCUGGGAACUGCAUCCAAAACUGGCGAGCUAGAGUAGGGCAGAGGGUGGUGGAAUUUCCUGUGUAGCGGUGAAAUGCGUAGAUAUAGGAAGGAACACCAGUGGCGAAGGCGACCACCUGGGCUCAUACGGACACUGAGGUGCGAAAGCGUGGGGAGCAAACAGG
rnacentral:rRNA from 1 species